rnacentral:rRNA from 1 species
AUUGAACGCUGGCGGCAGGCCUAACACAUGCAAGUCGAACGAGGGGCGGACGGGUGAGAAAUGUCUGGGAAACUGCCUGAGGGAGGGGGAAAAAUACUGGAAACGGUAGCUAAUAGCGCAUACCAUCGGAUGUGCCCAGAUGGGAUUAGCUAGUUGGUGGGGUAACGGCUCACCAAGGCGACGAUCCCUAGCUGGUCUGAGAGGAUGACCAGCCACACUGGAACUGAGACACGGUCCAGACUCCUACGGGAGGCAGCAGUGGGGAAUAUUGCACAAUGGGCGCAAGCCUGACGCAGCCAUGCCGCGUGUCUGAAUAAGGCCUUCGGGUUGUAAAGUACUUUCAGCGGGGGGGCGUUACCCGCAGAAGAAGCACCGGCUAACUCCGUGCCAGCAGCCGCGGUAAUAC